AACGAACGCUGGCGGCGGGCCUAACACAUGCAAGUCGAGCGAGGACUUCGGUUGUAGCGGCGGACGGGCGAGUAACUCGGGGAAAUGUGCCCUACUCUACGGAAUCGCCCUGGGAAACUGGGAGAAAUACCGUAUACGCCCGAUGGGCGCAAGAUUUAUCGGAGAAGGAUCAGCCCGCGUUAGAUUAGGUAGGUGGUGGGGUCAUGGCCUACCAAGCCGACGAUGCAUAGCUGGUAUGAGAGGAUGAUCAGCCACACUGGGAAUGAGACACGGCCCAGACUCCUACGCGAGGCAGCAGUGGGGAAUCUUAGACAAUGGAGGCAACCCUGAUCUAGCCAUGCCGGGUGAGUGAUGAAGGCCUUAGGGUUGUAAAGCUCGUUCAGCUGGGAAGAUAAUGACGGUACCAGCAGAAGAAGCCCCGGCUAACUCCGUG
rnacentral:rRNA from 1 species